UACGUAGGGUGCGAGCGUUAAUCGGAAUUACUGGGCGUAAAGUGUGCGCAGGCGGCCGAGCAAGUCGAGUGUGAAAGCCCCGGGCUUAACUUGGGAAUUGCGCUCGAAACUACUUGGCUGGAGUGUGGCAGAGGGGGGUGGAAUUCCACGUGUAGCAGUGAAAUGCGUAGAUAUGUGGAGGAACACCGAUGGCGAAGGCAGCCCCCUGGGUUAACACUGACGCUCAUGCACGAAAGCGUGGGGAGCAAACGGG
rnacentral:rRNA from 1 species